rnacentral:rRNA from 1 species
CCGGACUGAGAGGUUGAACGGCCACAUUGGGACUGAGACACGGCCCAGACUCCUACGGGAGGCAGCAGUGGGGAAUAUUGCACAAUGGGGGAAACCCUGAUGCAGCGACGCCGCGUGGAGGAAGAAGGUCUUCGGAUUGUAAACUCCUGUUGUUGAGGAAGAUAAUGACGGUACUCAACAAGGAAGUGACGGCUAACUACGUGCCAGCAGCCGCGGUAAAACGUAGGUCACAAGCGUUGUCCGGAAUUACUGGGUGUAAAGGGAGCGCAGGCGGGAAGACAAGUUGGAAGUGAAAUCCAUGGGCUCAACCCAUGAACUGCUUUCAAAACUGUUUUUCUUGAGUAGUGCAGAGGUAGGCGGAAUUCCCGGUGUAGCGGUGGAAUGCGUAGAUAUCGGGAGGAACACCAGUGGCGAAGGCGGCCUACUGGGCACCAACUGACGCUGAGGCUCGAAAGUGUGGGUAGCAAACAGGAUUAGAUACCCUGGUAGUCCACACUGUAAACGAUGAAUAGGAGGUGUUGGAGGAUUGACCCCUUCAGUGCCGCAG